CUUUUUUGUGAGUAUUGGUCGGGGUUCUGUCAAAGAGAACCCACGUAUACCCGACAUUGCUGUAUUCCUUCAAAAAUGACGGAAACCUUCCACAACCGGUUCUCUACUGUUACUUCAUUGGUAAUGUAAUGAAGUUUGCUCUCCCAAAAUAUCUUUCCAACAAACCAAAGACGCUCCUCUCCCUCUCUCGACAAAAGCCCUAAAAUUUUUCAUAAAGAACAACAAAUCCAUCGUUUGACGACCAUAUGAAAGUGCAAGAAUUAGAAAUCUGCAAAAGGAGCUUCUCUAUCGACGAGGAAACUGGAACAAAAAGAAAUAUGCAAACAAAUUAGAUAGUCGGAAUGUGAAGUGCCAUUAUGAGCUUCGUUAGGUUGGUUAGUUGUUUUUAUUUUUUUUGGUUUUGGGGUCUUACGUAUUUUUAAAUUUUGUUUCUUUUUUGGAAGGAAAGGAGGAU
rnacentral:lncRNA from 1 species